rnacentral:rRNA from 2 species
UUAAAUUGAAGAGUUUGAUCAUGGCUCAGAUUGAACGCUGGCGGCAGGCCUAACACAUGCAAGUCGAGCGGAAACGAGUUAUCUGAACCUUCGGGGAACG